UUAUCCCUAGAGUAACUUUCCUAUUUUUUCUUUAUCUUAAGGAUCCUUUACAUAAAAAAUAGCUUAAUUAUUUUUACCGCCCCAGUAAAACAAACAAACUCUCAAAACGAAAAAUCCUCUUGUUAAGCUUCUAGGGUCUUAUCGUCCCCUAGAAAAUUAAAGAAUUCUUACCUUAACUUUAAUAUACUAUUUAGCUCACAAACUUAAUAAGUCAGUUUAACCUUUCAUUCCAGUUAUCAAUUAAAUAACAAAUGACUAUGCUACCUUAGC
rnacentral:rRNA from 1 species